CAACAGAUUGCCAGCAAAGGUGAGUUUACUGACAGGAAGAGGACAGCAACAUGUGUAAGUAAUGGGCCGCCGGUGGCAAAACUUGUCAACGAAACACAUAAAAUCGAGAUUAAAUGCCAGACAUUGCGGUUAGCGAGCCAUGAAAGGUGGCAGCAGUUGGUUACGACGAUUAGCUCAGUGCCUCAUUGUUUCGCUUGCCUCUCCUUGUUUUGUGGGCCUUGCAUUGAUUAUACCGUUUUAGAUUGCCUUUUAGCAGUGAACGGGGUAAUUACAUGCAACACAACAGCAGAAGCACUCUAAUGGCAAUCAUUACUAGCUAAGUUGCAGGAGCUGAUGCCGAGUAGCAAUCAAUGCCAGUGGCAGCUACUGUCGACAACCGCAAAAUGCACUUAGCUACUUGCAUGCAACGACGACUGGCGCAACAUCUUGAAUUUCUCUAUGGGCGUUUGUGUGUGUAUAGUAAAGCCAAUCGAGGCGCUACAUAAUCCU